GUAAGGAAUAUUGGGCAAUGGGCGCAAGCCUGACCCAGCCAUGCCGCGUGCAGGAUUGACGGCCCUAUGGGUUGUAAACUGCUUUUGUACGGGAAAAAACCCCUGGUCGCGUACCGGGGCUGAUGUUACCGUAAGAAUAAGCAUCGGCUAACUCCGUGCCAGCAGCCGCGGUAAUACGGAGGAUGCAAGCGUUAUCCGGAUUCAUUGGGUUUAAAGGGUGCGCAGGCGGAGCGAUAAGUCAGUGGUGAAAGCCUACAGCUCAACUGUAGAAUUGCCAUUGAUACUGUCGUUCUUGAGUAUAGUUGGAGUGAGCGGAAUGUAUCAUGUAGCGGUGAAAUGCUUAGAUAUGAUACAGAACACCAAUCGCGAAGGCAGCUCACUAAGCUAUAACUGACGCUCAUGCACGAAAGCGUGGGGAUCAAACAGGAUUAGAUACCCUAGUAGUCC
rnacentral:rRNA from 1 species